GUACUACCGAUUGUAUGGCUUAGUGAGGUCUUGGGAUUGGCUUCGGGAAGCCGGCAACGGCAUCCUGUCGCUGAGAACUUGAUCAAACUUGGUCAUUUAGAGGAAGUAAAAGUCGUAACAAGGUUUCCGUAGGUGAACCUGCGGAAGGAUCAUUAUCGAGUUUUGACUGGGUUGUAGCUGGCCUUCCGAGGCAUGUGCACGCCCUGCUCAUCCACUCUACACCUGUGCACUUACUGUGGGUUUUACGGGUCGUGAAAUGGGCUCGUUCAUUCGGGCUUGUUGAGCGCACUUGUUGCCUGCGUUUAUCACAAACUCCAUAAAGUAUUAGAAUGUGUAUUGCGAUGUAACGCAUCUAUAUACAACUUUCAGCAACGGAUCUCUUGGCUCUCGCAUCGAUGAAGAACGCAGCGAAAUGCGAUAAGUAAUGUGAAUUGCAGAAUUCAGUGAAUCAUCGAAUCUUUGAACGCACCUUGCGCUCCUUGGUAUUCCGAGGAGCAUGCCUGUUUGAGUGUCAUGAAAUCUUCAAUCUACAAGCUUCUUAUGGGAGUUUGUAGGCUUGGACUUGGAGGCUUGUCGGUCCUUUACAGGUCGGCUCCUCUCAAAUGCAUUAGCUUGGUUCCUUGCGGAUCGGCUUGUCGGUGUGAUAAUGUCUACGCCGCGACCGUGAAGCGUGUUUGGGCGAGCUUCUAACCGUCUCGUUACGGAGACAACUUUAUGACCUCUGACCUCAAAUCAGGUAGGACUACCCGCUGAACUUAAGCAUUUCAAUAAGC
rnacentral:rRNA from 1 species